GUCUUGAAACACGGACCAAGGAGUCUAGCAUGUGCGCGAGUCAUUGGGAACAACUAAACCUAAAGGCGCAAUGAAAGUGAAGGUCCGCCUCGCGCGGACCGAGGGAAGAUGGGCGGACGUCCCUCACAAGCUGGCCCGCCCCGCACUCCCGGGGCGUCUCGUUCUCAUCGCGAGAAGAGGCGCACCAAGAGCGUACACGCUGGGACCCGAAAGAUGGUGAACUAUGCCUGGUCAGGACGAAGUCAGGGGAAACCCUGAUGGAGGUCCGUAGCGAUUCUGACGUGCAAAUCGAUCGUCGGAACUGGGUAUAGGGGCGAAAGACUAAUCGAACCAUCUAGUAGCUGGUUCCCUCCGAAGUUUCCCUCAGGAUAGCUGGCGCUCGUCGCCUACGAGUCUCAUCCGGUAAAGCGAAUGAUUAGAGGCAUUGGGGUCGAAACGGCCUCAACCUAUUCUCAAACUUUAAAUGGGUGAGAUCUCCGGCUUGCUCGAACUACUGAAGCCGCGAGACACGGAUCAGAGUGCCAAGUGGGCCAUUUUUGGUAAGCAGAACUGGCGCUGUGGGAUGAACCAAACGCCGAGUUAAAGCGCCUAAAUCGACGCUUAUGGGAUACCAUGAAAGGCGUUGGUAACUUAAGACAGCAGGACGGUGGCCAUGGAAGUCGGAAUCCGCUAAGGAGUGUUGU
rnacentral:rRNA from 1 species